UCGGGCUUUUGUGUACGCUGUGGCUGCUGCUUCUGCUGCCGAAGCUUGGCAUUGGAGACACCUCGUCCUCCUCUCAGGACAGAUCCAUGAACCCAUCGGCAGCGGCGGUGAGCGAUGCCUUCCCUCUGCCACAAGGCGCCGCCUGCAGAGCCUGCCGCGUCCGCCACGCCCAGAGCGUACCCGCAGCUCAGCGCCGAGUUACUCCUGCUGGCGGUGGCCAGGGAGUGACUGGAGUCGCCGGACACCCCUGGGGAGCAGGCGAAGGAGGAGCUGCAGCCACCACGUCCUCUCUUUCCCCAGGGAUGUGCAGAAUUACCAUGAAAUUAUGACUCCUCAUCCUAAGAAUUACCAAUGGGAAAAUUGGAGUCUAGAAAAUGUUGCCAUCAUUUUAGCCCACCGGUUCCCCAAUAGCUGUAUUUAGGUGAUAAAGUGCUCUCGAAUGCAUUGCACAGACUCAGUUGCCAUGACGAUUUUGUGAAAAGUAACAUGUUUGGUUCCCCAGAACACAAUACUGACUCUGGAGCUUUUAAGCACCUUUGUAUUAUUAGUUAAUGCUUUUAAGUCAUAAUAGUUUAUCAAAGAAAAAUUUGAACGGUUGGAAUAAGGACUCCACGCAUGUAAUUGCAGUCCAGUUUCCUGAUAUUACAAAUCGUUUCCAGGGAGAAAAAGAGAGGACCUGUGAAAAACCUGAUGAGUUGGCUAUGAGUUUUUAUCCACCAUCACUAAAUGAUGCAUCUUUUAAUUUGACUGGAUUCAAUAAAGAUUGUGUUGUUUUGAAUCAGUUUCUUUUUGAAUUGAAAGAAGCCAAGAAACGCAAAGACAUAGAUACUUCCAUUAAAAGCAUAAGAACAAUAUAUUGGCUGGAGGGUGGUCAUUCCGUAGGAAGUAAUACCUGGGUUACUUAUCCACAAGUCUUGAAAGAAUUUGUACAGUGAGAGAUUAUUGUUCACACCCAUGUAACACUUCACCAAGUACAUGAUCCAAAGAGAUCUUGGAUUGGAAAAGAGCAAAAUAAAUUUGCUUAGAUACUUGGGGAUAUUGGUAUGCAGGUGACUAGCUGAAUUCAUUUCAUGAAGGAAGCUCCCUGUAUAGAGAAUCCCUUUAGAGUUCAUGAAGUAGUUUG
rnacentral:lncRNA from 1 species